UUAAGUUAACCACAUAAAAUAUGUCAUCUCCUUUAAUUAUACGCAUCAUCUCAAGAAAUGUGUGGGGGUUGUAUGACUUGUUGAGGUGAAUGCUUUAAUUGAAGGAGCUUAUAUAUUUUAUGUGGUUAACUUAACC
rnacentral:pre_miRNA from 1 species